CGAUGGUACAGUGAAAGGGUUAGGUAUUUAAAAUUUUCAUUUAAAACACCCGAUGCAUCGAAAACCCCAAUGCCCAAAAAUCCUUGACUAUAAUAAUCAAAGUACAAUAAAUAUAAAUUAGAAUAAGAAGAAUACCUAUAGCGCUAAUCUCAAUUUUUAUAAGGCAUCCAAAUGUUCAUCCUUCAAUAGUAAUCCACAUGAAAACUGAACCAAGGACAAUGCUCCUUCUUCACCUUCAAGAGUUCUAGCCACUAGAACUUGAUCAGCCACCA
rnacentral:lncRNA from 1 species